UGCCCAGACUCCUACGGGAGGCAGCAGUGGGGAAUAUUGCACAAUGGGGGAAACCCUGAUGCAGCGACGCCGCGUGGAGGAAGAAGGUCUUCGGAUUGUAAACUCCUGUCCUUGGGGGCGAUAAUGACGGUACCCAAGGAGGAAGCACCGGCUAACUACGUGCCAGCAGCCGCGGUAAUACGUAGGGAGCAAGCGUUAUCCGGAAUUAUUGGGUGUAAAGGGUGCGUAGACGGGACAGCAAGUUAGUUGUGAAAGCCCUCGGCUUAACUGAGGAACUGCAACUAAAACUAUUGUUCUUGAGUGCAGGAGAGGAAAGCGGAAUUCCUAGUGUAGCGGUGAAAUGCGUAGAUAUUAGGAGGAACACCAGUGGCGAAGGCGGCUUUCUGGACUGUAACUGACGUUGAGGCACGAAAGUGUGGGGAGCAAACAGGAUUAGAUACCCUCGUAU
rnacentral:rRNA from 1 species